AUACCCUGGUAGUCCACGCCGUAAACGAUGAGUGCUAAGUGUUAGGGGGUUUCCGCCCCUUAGUGCUGCAGCUAACGCAUUAAGCACUCCGCCUGGGGAGUACGGUCGCAAGACUGAAACUCAAAGGAAUUGACGGGGGCCCGCACAAGCGGUGGAGCAUGUGGUUUAAUUUGAAGCAACGCGAAGAACCUUACCAGGUCUUGACAUCCUCUGACAAUCCUAGAGAUAGGACGUCCCCUUCGGGGGCAGAGUGACAGGUGGUGCAUGGUUGUCGUCAGCUCGUGUCGUGAGAUGUUGGGUUAAGUCC
rnacentral:rRNA from 1 species